rnacentral:rRNA from 1 species
CUAGCUGUAAACGAUGGAUACUAGGCGUUGAGAGUAUCGACCCUCUCAGUGUCGUAGCUAACGCGUUAAGUAUCCCGCCUGGGGAGUACGCGCGCAAGCGUGAAACUCAAAGGAAUUGACGGGGGCCCGCACAAGCGGUGGAGUAUGUGGUUUAAUUCGAUGCAAAGCGAAGAACCUUACCAGGGCUUGACAUGUCCGGAACCCUGCCCAAAGGCGGGGGUGCCUACGGGAACCGGAACACAGGUGGUGC